rnacentral:misc_RNA from 1 species
CCGAAUUUCUCUCGUUAGGCUCUCAGGCAUGGCAGCUGCUUCAGCUAUACGCCAUGCGGUAAACCAUAGCAUAAGAACUCAGUUUAGAAAUCCUCAUAAGCUAUUUUUCUCUCCGCCGACUCUGUUAAUGUCAGCUAUGGCUUCAGACAGAAGGUUUUCCUACAACGGAUUAAAAAAUUUUAAUGGAUAUGGUACCAAAACACCAUUUCUAAUUGGCGUAGCUGGUGGAACAGCAUCUGGCAAGUCAACAGUUUGUUCAAGAAUCAUGGAAAAACUUGGACAAGAUGAAAUUGACCACAGGCAACGACAAGUUGUCUGUAUCAGUCAGGACAGUUUCUAUCGAGAAUUAAAUCCUGCAGAAAGCAUCAAAGCUUCUAAAGGUCUAUUCAAUUUCGAUCAUCCAGAUGCAUUUGAUAAUCAACUUAUUUUAAAGACACUCAAGGAUAUCUUGGAUGGAAGAGUUUGCAAAAUUCCUGUUUAUGACUUCAAGACCAACUCAAGAAAAUUGGAUGAAUUUGUCACCAUUUAUCCUGCUGAUGUCCUGCUAUUUGAAGGAAUCUUGGUCUUUUAUUUCCCUGAAAUAAGAGAAGUCUUUCAUAUGAAGCUUUUUGUUGACACUGAUGCUGAUACUCGCCUAUCAAGAAGAGUUCUUCGCGAUAUUCGAGAGCGUGGAAGGGAUCUGGAGCAAGUAUUGGCUCAGUACACUAUGCUAGUUAAACCAGCUUUUGAAGAAUUCUGUUUACCGACCAAAAAGUUUGCUGAUGUCAUUAUACCUCGCGGAGCGGAUAACACAGUGGCCAUUGGAUUAAUUGUCCAACACAUUCGUGAACUGUUGAACUAUCGCAACGGCAACGGACUUCAGCAGCAAAGGAAUCGCCAGAUCGCCCAACAGCAGCAACAGACUACCCAACAGCAACAACAGCAGUCGCAAACAGAAGAGAAUGAAAAGUGACUGAUUCGUUUAAAGAAGGUCGUUUUGCUUCGUCUCGGGACCAACACAUCGCCAUCCAUUUGUAAAGCUGGCAAGGCCGUCCUUUUGGUUUGGGCAAAAUCACCUGAAUCGAAAAGGGCUUAAUCAGCUAGUAUACAUAUAUUUGCAUGAAAAAUUAAUUUUGGUUAAAAUAAUUAUAUAGUACCUGCUUGCCGUCUGCAUAAAAAAAGUGAUCGGCGUUCAAAAUCACUUGCGUAUCAUUCAUGGAACCGUACGGCUUCUCUUUCGCCACUGUGGAAAUUUCCCACACCGUUACAGCUAACAUCUUUAAGCGGAUGGGAAGAGAUUUUCGUCCACGAACUUCGCCGUAAUCGUCCUUGAAUGCGGCGCAAAUGAUAGCCAAAUCACAUAUUUUAAUUUGCAAGUCGGGACCCACUAAGCAAUUCCUGGAUGGGCAAACAAAAAAUAAUGUAAACCUUCUUAUGUAAUAUGCAUUCCAAAUGUACUAUUGUUAAAGAGACAUUAUCAAUUUGAGUUCAUUUAUGUAUUCAUAAAAUGAAAUUUACCUUGUGGCAAGAUCCUUGUGCACCAUUCCUUUCUCUUCAAGGUAUUUCACAGCCCGUGCUAUUUGACAAGAUAGUUUGAAUACGCUCUUGUUGCUGUAAAUAAUCCAAACUACUUUUUAAAAAAUAGUUUCUUGGCAAGAAAUAAAACAUUCUUUAG